GGGUANGNCGGAGCCUACCAUGCAAGUCGAGCGGUAGCACAGGGAGCUUGCUCCUGGGUGACGAGCGGCGGACGGGUGAGUAAUGUCUGGGAAACUGCCUGAUGGAGGGGGAUAACUACUGGAAACGGUAGCUAAUACCGCAUAACGUCGCAAGACCAAAGAGGGGGACCUUCGGGCCUCUUGCCAUCAGAUGUGCCCAGAUGGGAUUAGCUAGUAGGUGGGGUAAUGGCUCACCUAGGCGACGAUCCCUAGCUGGUCUGAAAGGAUGACCAGCCACACUGGAACUGAGACACGGUCCAGACUCCUACGGGAGGCAGCAGUGGGGAAUAUUGCACAAUGGGCGCAAGCCUGAUGCAGCCAUGCCGCGUGUAUGAAGAAGGCCUUCGGGUUGUAAAGUACUUUCAGCGAGGAGGAAGGCAUUGUGGUUAAUAACCGCAGUGAUUGACGUUACUCGCAGAAGANNCACCGGCUAACUCCGUGCCUGCAACCGNGGNAAUACGGAAGGUGCGUCCUUA
rnacentral:rRNA from 1 species